rnacentral:rRNA from 1 species
UACGUAGGGCGCAAGCGUUGUCCGGAAUUAUUGGGCGUAAAGGGCUCGUAGGCGGUUUGUCGCGUCUGCUGUGAAAACGCGAGGCUUAACCUCGCGCCUGCAGUGGGUACGGGCAGACUAGAGUGCGGUAGGGGAGACUGGAAUUCCUGGUGUAGCGGUGGAAUGCGCAGAUAUCAGGAGGAACACCGGUGGCGAAGGCGGGUCUCUGGGCCGUUACUGACGCUGAGGAGCGAAAGCAUGGGGAGCGAACAGG